UGAGGAAUAUUGGUCAAUGGGCGCAAGCCUGAACCAGCCAUGCCGCGUGAAGGAUGAAGGCCCUAUGGGUUGUAAACUUCUUUUGUACGGGACGAAACCCCUGAACGUGUUCGGGGCUGACGGUACUGUACGAAUAAGCAUCGGCUAACUCCGUGCCAGCAGCCGCGGUAAUACGGAGGAUGCAAGCGUUAUCCGGAUUCAUUGGGUUUAAAGGGUGCGUAGGCGGGAAAAUAAGUCAGUGGUGAAAGCCUACAGCUUAACUGUAGAAUUGCCAUUGAUACUGUUAUUCUUGAGUACAGUUGAAGUGGGUGGAAUGUGUGGUGUAGCGGUGAAAUGCUUAGAUAUCACACAGAACGCCAAUUGCGAAGGCAGCUCACUAAGCUGUUACUGACGCUGAGGCACGAAAGCGUGGGGAUCAAACAGG
rnacentral:rRNA from 1 species